UUAUAUUUAUUGUUACACCAGAUGCUUUUAUUUACAUUCCCUUCUCAAGAGCUACUAACGACAAAAUGUGUAGGAGUGUGUGUCUUGCCUAUCAUUGAAAGACGAGCUGCAGAAGCAUCAGCCAACUCGUAUAUGUUUUUCAUGUGGAGUGAAGAACAUUUUCCCGAUGAACUCAUCAUUCUUGAAAAUCCACCAUGCAGGUCCAUCAUGAUGGUGCUCGAACCUCAGCUACUGGAAUGAAAGUUGGGUUAAUUUUCCUUGAUUUUUCCAUCUUAAACGCUCCUGUAAACAUGAAAUUUUUUUUCGCUUGUGUGCCACUGUCCAUCUGCACUUUUUUCUCAUUUAUUUUAUCAAACGUUUGAUUUAAAAAAACCACUUUUGAUGUA